rnacentral:rRNA from 1 species
AGAGUGUGAUCAUGGCUCAGAACUAACGCUGGCGGCGUGCCUAACACAUGCAAGUCGUACGAGAAAGUUGGCUUCGGCCGAUGAGUAAAGUGGCGCACGGGUGAGUAACGCGUGGAUAAUCUACCCCUCAGUUGGGAAUAACUCAUCGAAAGGUGGGCUAAUACCGAAUAAUACUGCAUGACUUCUGUUGUAUAGUCAAAGAUGGCCUCUGCUUGCAAGCUAUCGCUGAAGGAUGAGUCCGGGUACCAUUAGCUAGUUGGUAGGGUAAUGGCCUACCAAGGCAACGAUGGUUAGCUGGUCUGAGAGGAUGAUCAGCCACACUGGAACUGAGACACGGUCCAGACUCCUACGGGAGGCAGCAGUGAGGAAUAUUGCGCAAUGGGGGCAACCCUGACGCAGCAACGCCGCGUGAGUGAGGAAGGUUUUCGGACCGUAAAGCUCUGUCGAGCGGGAAGAAAUGCAUAGUGGCUAAUAUCCAUUAUGCUUGACGGUACCGCUAAAGGAAGCACCGGCUAACUCCGUGCCAGCAGCCGCGGUAAUACGGGGGGUGCUAGCGUUGUUCGGAAUCAUUGGGCGUAAAGAGCGUGUAGGCGGCUGGAUAAGUCAGAUGUGAAAGCCCUGGGCUUAACCCAGGAAGUGCAUUUGAAACUGUUCAGCUUGAGUAAGGGAGAGGAAAGUGGAAUUCCUGGUGUAGAGGUGAAAUUCGUAGAUAUCAGGAGGAACA